UUCUUUGAGAUGCAAUGGGAUUCCCGCUACUUAAACGUUUAACAUCUAGUGUAUCAAGCAUAGCGAACGGCAACAUUCUUUGCUCAGAAGCGGGUAUUGUGCUUCGAUCCUACGAAAUCUUGUUGAUUUGUUCAUACAUCAUGUCCAUCGGAGUACCCAUCAAAGUUCUGCACGAGGCUGAAGGCCACAC
rnacentral:misc_RNA from 1 species